AAUUUGAGCUUAUUGAAUGUGAUAAAUUCAAAAAUAACAUUUAAUAUGCCAAGAAAUUAAUUAGGAUAUAUGAAAACAUGUACAAUGAAAAAGCACAUAACCUCCAAAUCACGGCUUCAUAAGAAAUAAAAUUAUGAUCUUAUGGCAACGCUGUCACAUUAAAUGUCAGGCUUAUUUUGACUUUAUGGUCGGACAUUUAUACAUAAAAACGGUUUUAUUUAUAGCUUAAAAAGGUAAGUAGUGGCACAUAUUGAAGACACUGCACAUAAAUUCGCAAUAAAGUUACCUAACUCAAGUUUGCCGAAUUAAAGAAGAACGUGGAGUUAACUUAAUAAAAAUAUUGUGCAUUUGAAAAUGCAAAGAAAGCAAAAAAGUUCACGAAACAUAUUGUCAUAAAAAUUACAGUUAGCGGAAUGUUUGUAAAAAAAAAUCAGUUAAUUAAUUUUAUACUCAGUGUAAUUACACAUCUAGGCAUGUGCAUAAAAAUUUAGAAGACCAUAAAAUAGCACUUUAAUAAAUGUUCUUUGUUUUAUAUCAUAAAUUUUAAAGCGAUGCCGAAAGUGCUAAACACCAUUUCGGGAACCCGAAAGAAGCUCACCGGCUGCAGUUCAAUGGCAGGUCUAUUGCUGCGACAUUGCUGUUGUUGUUGACACCGAUUGCUGCUCUUCGAUUUUACAGUCAACAAAUAUUGCCAUUAAAUUUCUGAUUAUCUGCUACAGAUGCGAUUAUUGUUGUUGCCGCGGUUAAUUGAGUAAAUUUACAAGUUGCCGAGCGACGAAGACUCAAAGGAAACUCUCUUCCAGCCGAAGUCGGACCAAAAACUCAACAGCAUAAAAUUGUCAAAGUUGUUGAGCAUCAACAGAAAUUUAUGUUAAUUAUGUACGAAUGGGUGUACUUAUGUACAUAUAUGCCUGCUAUCACCGAGUCAAACAAGUCAACAGCAAAAAAAAUAAAUAAAUAAAACAUAAAAAAAAAAAAUUAAAAAAAAUAUGAAAAAAUGUUCACAAAAUGCCCAUGUGUUGGGUCACUAAAGCAAAAAAUCAAAUUCGCUGUCAUUAGCACUGUCGACCGGAAGUUUACACUUACACAUAUGCAGCACAGAGCCAACAACCAACAAAAAAGAGAAAAAAAUUGUAUAAAAAAACUACAACAUUUCGUCGUUUUUUUCGUCCCGUCAUCGACAUCUGAUGCGAUCGCUGGUGAUUUGCCUCUCAUUGAGUAGUUGCUGAUGCCGAUGAACGUACUCUUUGCACGAUGUGCCAGUAUAUACAUGUAUGUAUACGUAUGUCAGUAACUUAGGUGUAAAAUGCUAUAAAUUUCAUUUGUGCAUUCAGAUAUAACCAUACGGUAUGUAUAUUUAUGAGUUUAUGCGUUGCAAACAACAUGAGUUGCUGUCAAAUUGAUGAUCGUCAGCAGCAACAUCAACAGCAAAAUGACAACGUGAAUGCGUUGGAACGAGUUGCAAGCAAACAAAAAGUUUAAAGGAUAAAACAAAAACAAAUUCUAAAAGAAACAUACAUACAUAUUGAGCACUCGCGAAGUCAAUUCAAAACAGAAAUCAGAUAGCGGAAAUGUCGCUGCUUGUCGUAUGUGGCAAUUCAGUAUGACCCGUUAGAAAAUACACUCCGAGUGCUUGAAAUUCUCUGCCGAGGGCGAUCCCAAUUGAAAAAUUACUUUUCUAUAAUUUUGGAUUUUGACUUUCCGAUUAGCAGUAUGGCUAUUGCGACCACCAGAUGUACAUUUGAGUGAGUGCAACGAGCAGAAAAUCGUGUUCUAAGUUACUCAAUUCUUGCACAGGUAAAAAUUAGUGAGCUGGACUCGUUUUACGUAGCUGAAAGUUGAAAGUAGUUCAAGGAUUACCUGCAGAAGAGCUAUUGAUUCGAAAUGGGCGUUCUUUACAAAAGUCCUGUAAGGCCCACACUAACAUAUAGGGCACUAGUAUGAUGGGUGUCAAUAAAGAAGAAGUAUCCUACUAAAACUUUGGUAAAGAGCAUCUCAAAUAUUUUCUGGUUAUAUCAGAAGCUAUGAAAAAUGCCCUGGAAGCCACGAGCUCGGGAUCAACCCAAGCAAUUUACAAAUGUGUAUAAAGCAGCUCUAACAGUCCUUCAGUUCUACAGUCCUUCCUAACUAGGCGCAUACCCUUAACAGUGGGAGAUAUGGCAGCUCACUGAAAGUAAUAACAGAACAGAUUGUGGGCAUUACUGAAGGUGCCAGAGGCAAUUAGCAGAUUAUAACACAGAAGGAAGUAAAAAGGCGGACGAGCUGACUUGCGCUGGCGAAAUAGGCAACCUCAAUUGUAUCAGACCCUUCAAAUUCAGUCUAAAACAAUGCAUCAUGAAGGUUCUGGAGCAUUUCCUCCAUAAGCGCACCACAAAAUUAUUGUAGAGUAGCGUGGAUUAAAGACAAACAAAAUUGUUAGUAGUAAAGUGGAAUUGGCUGAGUGCAGAGCAGGAAUAGAAGAUGGCGGAACGCUGGAGCACUACCUUAGCAAAAUCGUCUCACACAAUGGCUUAGGUGUCUCCGCUUGCAGUCAGGUCCUAAAACUACCAACCAAGCAUAAGAACUCUUAUCAAAAUCUGACACCGAGUGAAUGCUUAAUUUAAAUAAUAAAAAUCUUAGAAAGCUAUAGAGUUUUGUUACUUUGCUUUCGGCAGAUGCUGUUAAAGUGAAACCGUGUUUUAAAACCAGGUCCGAUUUCAAGAAAGAUUAAAAGUUUAGAAAGCUAGAAAUCUGCUAAAUAUAUGUAUCUAAACAAAUUGAAGACUCAACGAAGUAAAUACAAAGAGAAAUCAGAACCUAUUUAACCUAAGAUUACGAGGUUCCCAACUGACUGACUUAAAUAAUACUUAAGCUUAUUCGAUGAUAAAAAUAAACUAAAAAAUAACUGGCUACCUUAAUAGUAGGUUUUUAUAGUUGUAAUGCUUAAGAAUGACAGACUUUCUUCGGCUGCUCAUAACUUGGUUUGAAUUUUUUAUAAUUCUCUGAACUAAAUAGAGACUUUGACAACAAAUUAUUAUAUUUAUUCAAGACGCGCAUAAAUGAAAUUUGUUUUCACGUUUUUGGAUUGAAAUGAUUACCGAGUUGCCGGGAAAUAUGUGAGCUACAUUUGUUUAAUAUGUCUCAUCCUUCGACUGCAAUUCAAAUAAAAUAUGCAGGCGUAUCAAAAUGAAUGAAAAAAUGCAGAGCGAAUAACAAAUACCAACAGAUAUUUGGACAGACAGUUUGGCAGUGAGUUAAUGAAGCAAACGACCUUGUGCGCCUGCGUAGACUCUGGCAUUUCACAAAAAUUUAAUCGCAUUAACAGCACGCAAUGCGCACAAAAACUUGGCUUAUUUUUUCUCCUCUGUCUUGAUUUGCCUGAAGGCGACCGUAAUCCUUUUUUUGACGAGCGCGAUUAUUAAAUGAGGCGCAAAAAUGAUAUCUUGUAUAAACCUACACACACAUUGAAGGCAUACAAACGCUUACGCACUCGUAUAUGAAUGUGUGUAAAAAGUGCCUGGAGUUGGCGAGAUUUUGCGCUGAAUAUUUAUGAGCUGCGCAUAUGGUAAUUUGCUUAAGACGCUGCAAAGAUUUACCCGUACUGAACUGGUGUAAAUCUAGUAGCAGCGCAAGGUAAGCGCCCGCGAAGGUAAGUAAGAAAACAACAGUGUCUUAAUAUGCACGAUAAUUAUUGUUCAGAUAUCGAGUUCGGUGAGCGCAUGCCAUCCAUGCACCACGUAAUACAAGUAGACUCUGUGGAAAUUUUAAUGAGCUCAUCGAAAUUCAGUCAUUAUUAAAACAACAAAAUCGUUACGAAAAGGCAUUUGACAGAAAAAGUAACGAAUAUUCCUCAGUCGCACAGCUAGUCAUACUUGAAAUUUUGAAUGACCACAAAGAUAGAUCUUUUGCUUAACCGUAAUCAGUAAAGAAAGGUUUGUCCUACUGUUUAUUAGGGUUUCUUACACCAACAGUUUCAACCAGCCGAAGCUGAGUCAUUCUGGAGUAAAGUUUAUUUGAGAUUUGUUGAGUCAUCCAUAUGUAAGCCCUAAAAGGAUCUAUUCUAACUUCAUCAAAAUGAAUUUUUUGCGCCAGAACGAAUAUACAGUUUAGUAAUUCAGUUUACUAUUGUAGAAUAAACUGCAAGGGAAAGCUAGUUAUCCUAUGUUUCCCUGCAGUAAAGGUUUUUCGAAUCUGAAUUAGAAAUUAUUUGAGAGUUGACGCUGCGAAAGUUAUAAUCUGUGUUCUCAAAGUGUGGAUGAACUUUUUAUUGGAAACCUUCCAAAAUUUAAAAAAAAAAAGUAUUUUUAAUAAAAAAUUAAGUUAAUUUUUCUAAUUGUGGUCGCCCGUCGGCGCGAAAUGUCCAGUCCUCCGAGCGUAUUUCUAAUAUGUCAUAUAAAAACUCCUCAUAAAAAACCAUCAGCCGCUCGGAGGCGGCUUAGAAUAAACUGUAGCUCCCUACAUUUGUUUGAAAGACAUCAAGACAUCCACCACGAAUUGGAGGAGGAGUUCCUCAUUUAUAUGGUUGCCCGUUCUGCUCUGCUGAUGGCCCAAAAUAUCAAUAGCAAUGCAUGGCUCCAAUAGUGCGUAAUUCAAUUCAUGAACCGACAGUUGACAUUAACUUUCAGUUUGCAAUUUUUUGGAAUAUUUUUCAAUUCUCUUCAAGCAUAAACUUAAUCACUUCGUAAGCCGUAAACCUUGCAUAGACUAUUUGACACAACGGUAAUGUCUUUGAAGAUGCCAAAGCUCAAAUAAGCCAAAGUCCAAAAGGCAAGCUAUAAGGAACGGCGAAACAGUGAGAGAAUUUCGCAGAAAAGUCUAAUAAAUUUGCGGCGUUGAAGAUAACUCUCAGGAGAGCUAAAAAAAAGUAAGUUUCUCUCUUUGGAAAACUUAUUGCGAACGCGUUUAAGGAAGAAAAAAUUUUUACCAUAAUCAUUCUUUACUGGUUUAUGGCGAAAAUGCAGCAAAAUAAAGUUAAAAAUAAUAAUAAUUUGA
rnacentral:lncRNA from 1 species